ACCACUUUCCAUCAGGUGGACCGUCAGCUUGUUUGCCAUUCUAGGUUGCGUAAAACAAAAACAAAAAAGCACAAUUUUGAAUUGUAUCCCUUGCAAUUUUCAGAAGCGGCCCCCAGACAACUCAUUCUAUGUUAAAACCUGUAACAAAAACCCUAAGAAAACAAAAUGGUGGUAUCACGACGACUCCGUGUAACGUCACGUCGCGGCGCUGUAUCGAGCUUGGACGAUAAAAUCUCAAUAUGUGAUAAGUGUUAUAACGACGUGGUGUGUGUACAUAGCGAGUGAGUGCCGUGGUGUGCGGACGUUGGACUAGCGUUGCUUAUUGCGUUGCCCUGUGCCCAGUUCGGACGCCAUAUUGCUGCGGAGCGACACCUGUCGGAAACUUUGACUUCGUUUGACGGAUUGAAUUGUAAGUAAGCUGAUAUCCAACCCUUUGAGCUAGAUAUACACUGGCAGACUGUAAUGCAUCUCAUACUAUCCAGUUAAUACAUUUAAGUCUUUAGAAAUGGCAUGGCAUGAGGAGUAUCAUGGGCAUCACAGUGUAUUUUGUGACAUCCAUGAUAUUCUUGUCUAUAAGUGACGGAAACCACUUACCAUCAGGUGGGCCGUCAGCUUGCCAAUUUAAUAUCAUAAAAAAGAAUGUCUUGUCGUGUAGACAAAACAGUGAGUCCCUAAUUGUCAUAGCAUAAUAUGGGACAUGCCAAAACCAGUGAUACUCUGAUAUGAAUCCAAACGACACAGUAGUGUUUCUAGCUUUUGGUUGUUUACCCAGGGUCACCACACGACACGACAAAUCGCAUUGGCGAUAAUGAACGCUGUACGUUUUUGUUAACCUUAAAUUCCCUUAACGUCGUAUUAUUCUGUCAUUACUAAACUGUUUAUACUUGUAUAUGGGAAUCAUAAAAUAUAUGUGAAAAAUUUAACCUUCUGGUAACUCAACAGAAUUCAAACCCGUCUCUCAGCUGUACCAACUAGUAUACUUAACCGGAUCUCGACAAACAUCACUACAGUAGAAUUACUAGUCGGUAGUUACAUUUAUAACACGAUAGAUGGCGCCUGUAUAGAUUUAUUGACGUUUGAAAGACUUUGAAACAUAAUUCAAAAUUUAACACUUGAUAGUAUUUUUUUUUUUUUAUUUAAUUGAGACUACACUUGGCUCAGAUGUUUCAGAGUUGUAGAUUCGAAUCCUUUUACAUUGAACUCUAAUACAUUUUAAAUGGUACACAAUUGUGAGGCGAUAAAAAAAUCACUGUCAUUCUGUGGUGAACUGUGGAAACAGCCGAAGAUAGGUGGCAAAGAUGCUUAUUUUAAAUUUGUUACUAAUUCCUCACGCUCACAUACGAGAAAGACAGCACUUCCGUCCAAUUUUGUUCUCUCACCUGUAAACUAUAAAGCCCAUUUUGCUUUGUUUAAGACUGAAAUGUAAACAGAUUGGAAAUGAUAUGUUUGCCACCUAUCUACAAGCCUGGGUGUGGACCCAUAAGCUCUUAAGCAGUAUUAAUUCGACCGUAUGGUUUGUGAUAAACGGAAUUACAACCUUGGUAUAAUGGUAUAAGGUUGUAGUUCAAAGUCGGACAUUAAAAUUGGUGAUUAUACAGUGUGUACUUGAAAUAUUACGAAAUAUGUAAACAAUUCAAGGUGUAUUGGUGUGUUUUUAGUAUAAGCUAUUUCUUUUUUCAAUCGGGUAACUUAGCCCAUUUUAAUACAUAAAUAGGUAAUAUAAAACAAAGAAUUAUUAUACAUAAAAUUUUAUUAAUUUCAAAGGAAAUCUUUAUUGACAAUAUAUAAUUAUAACAUUAUAUCCGUGUAUAUAAAAUACGUAUUAUUGGUUAGUUCCUAUCACGUUGGGACAUAAAAUUAUAUAAGAUAGGUAUCUUAAACUUAAUUUUAGUCAUGGUAACAUUAUUAACUAGGAUGCAAUGUUGCCAAUAUAAAAAAGAAUAUUACAAUAUUUAGGAUCACAACAAAUACAAAAUAUUACAAUAAUUGUAUAAAAAUAAAUGUAUUGGUCUUCUCUAAUUGAAAUAAUAAUACAAUAAUUAAUAUAAACUAUCCACAACAACAAAAAAAAAAUUAAAAAUGUGUGUUUAAAACCAUACUAAAAAUUUUUGCUUGGGGUGUAGGAGAUAUUUCGUCAAUUCAUUUACACAUUGUAUAACUUAUAGGAGUGUAACAAAUAUACAAUCACUGUAAUGUGAUCUAUAAUAUAUUUAACUGACAGUGAUGUUUAAAAAAAAAUGCAAAUUGUAUAUUGAACUGGAACAACUGUUUAAAGAUUUGCAUUAUUUAUACAUGAACCUGGCAACACAUACAUUGUAUAUUGAAUUCUAUUCUAUAUUCAAUUUUAAAUAUUUCUCAGCUGUUUUUUUUUUCAAACAGCUCUUUAUUGCACUAAAAUUGUAGAUUAAAUUACAACUAAAUAUUAUGUUGCAUUUUAUUUUUUAUGGUUGGCACUAUUACAAUAAUCUUACGAAUUAUUUUUAUUGAAUGUAGUCAUUUAAAAAAAUAAAACAAAAACACUUAUAGGACAUAAUUUUUUAAUCAAUUAAUACAAAAAUAUAAUAAGCUUUUUGUUUAUUUUAUGGACUGUAGAUUUUUUAAAAAGAUAUCCUAGGAUUGGUUUACUAAUUGUGCAAUAUAUAUAAACGCUAAAUAUGACCCAUAUAUGGUAAUAAAUCUAUUACUUUAUAGUGAUUGGUGCAACAACUUGUUUCAAGGCUUGGGCUUGUCUCUGAAAGAGAUCUCUUCCAGCCAACUUAAUGCAGUGAGAGUCAGUAAUUAGUUGGUAAUCUAAUAGUUGUAAAUAUACAAAAUUAAACAAGAAAUGUUAGAUGACGCUGGAAUCGAGACUUGUGCUUUUUUGUUGAUUAUUUUGUAAUUGAAGAUAAUUUAAAAUAAAAUCGCAAUGUUGUGUACAAUGAAAGAAUAUAAAAAUAAUUAUAACCUAUUACUAUUCAAGUAAAAAAUCAAUAAAACCACUCGCCACUUUAGAAAUAACGCCUUAAAAUUAUUUUUACUUACAAAAUAAUCGACAAGAACCACAAUUCUCGUUCCUACCGCCAUCUAGUAUUUCAUGUCCAAUUUUGUUUAGUGACCAACCAUCCCAAAUACAAAAUAAAUAAAUUAUUUGCUGUCAAAGAUUUGCUGUCAAAUUAUAGACAUCUCAGUGAUAGUUGCAUGAUUAAUGUUGUAGUGUUAUACAAAAGCUAUUUAUGACAAAUUCAAAUUUUUUUUUUCUAAUAUGGCUUCCAUCUUAAAGAAUGAAGAUGAGAAAUAUUUAAAAUUUAAAAAGUAAUGCAGACGUGCAGUUGUGCAGUAUUUUGAAUGGUUAUUUUUUUUAAAAUUUGAUGUUGUACUACAAUCAGUCAUUUCAAAAUUAAAAUAAUUAACUUUUUUUUAGCUUAUAUGAUUGUAACGAUCUCUCUUUUCUUUUUUUUUUCUUUCAAUGGACGAUAAUAUAAUGGUAACCCCGCCUGAGCUGUCAGUAUAUGCUGAUGGUGUACCAGUACUAAUUAUUGUUUAAACAAAAUAAAAAAAAUACCAGUGAGGAAUGAUAGGUGAGAAUGAAAGGCAGGUCAGUUAGCCCAUCGUGAUGAACACAUCUGGAAUUCAGCACGAUGGUGUCCAGGGGGGACCAAUUGGAGGCUGACCUUGUAUGGUAUAUUGCUAGCAAUGGGACUGGUAGUCCACAUUACUAACAAUCCCUCUCUCCUCUCUUUCUUUUUAGGUACUUUAAUUUACUGUUUAUUACUAUUAACUAAACUAAACUUACAACUAAAAGUUGUAAUCAUACAUAGUUUUUGACUUAAAAAUCCAAUUUUAUUGUGGCCUAAAUAUGUAUUAACUUAUGAGAUAUCAUCCAAUGAAUUCACUUGAAUCAUUAUAGUUUUAAAAUAAAAAUUAUAGUGCCACUUGUACAUUGAAAUUUUAUAUUUUAAUUCAAACAUAAUAUAUAUAAAAUUAAACAGCUUUAAAUCAAAUAAAGAUGAGAAUUGACUUUUCCAUUGUUUUCUGUCUCGCUCUUACUCUUAAUUGAGGCAACUUAGGUUAAAAAGAGAUGCAAAAUAACAAUUGUUUUCAAAAUCAAUGUUUUCAAUUAGUUGAGUAAUAGUAAAUUUGAAAACAAUUUUAGUUUUCACAUUGUCAUCUUCAUUUGAUUUCAAAGCAUCUUGGCAAGUAAUGGAAUUGCAACGCCAUCUACCGAAUUUACAGUCAACAAAAAAGUAUACAAACCAUUAUAACAUUCAAGGCAGUAAUAAUCCGACGUCGAGCGAAGCCAGGCGAUUAGCAAUAGCAACAACUGUGUAUUGAUAUAAAAGACCUUAUUUCGUUUUCAGUCAUUGACCUUUUUAGUUAUAUUUAAUCCAUUAGAAUUAUAUUUUUAACUGGUCUCUAUUUAUGCGAUAUUUCAUGUCUUCAAGGCUACAUGUUCCCCGUCACGGAAUGCUGUUGCUUCAUAAAAGACUCAUAUAUUUUUUUUUUAUUUUUUUUUAUUCAAUUAAUUUAUAUUUAAAUGUGAAGCGUUGAAGAAAAGAUUUUCUGUUUUUAAAACCUGAAUAAAUGGCAAGGUAUUUUAUUUCUUUAUACAUAUAUGUUAACUCAUGGGAAAGAAUGAGACAGCAUAUCCGUCGUCUAACCUCCUUGUUGUUGAUAAAAUUAAACAUCUAAUAAACCUAUUUUAACUACUGAAGUGUUAUACCUUUUUCUUUCAUACUAAUUUAUCGAUAUGAAAGAAAAGGACAAAAUACCCUCUAAUGGUUUAUAGGAGGUUUUAUUUAUUAAAUAGGAGAGUUCAAAGUCUAACAAACAAUAGAUAAUGUUGCCUAAUUGUAAAAAGUAAAUAUGGAAAUUGAAUGUAAACAAACAAGAUCAUUGCCAUUUAUACAGGCACAAUAAUAUUAUAAUUUUAACGAAGGCAUAACGGAUUCUUUAUAAUUAUUUAAUAGAACUUAUUUGCUAUGUAAUAUUUAUCUUUUUACUGAAUCAAUAUAAAAUAUUUCAUUGUAACUUUACAUAAUUGUACAACAAAAAUUGUAAGUACAUAAAACAAUAAGCGACUACUGCCAAGUUGUUACAUUCAUAAAGAGGAUUACUUUCGUCGCAGAAAGGAACGUCUAUGGUUCCUUUUAAAAUGUCAAAUGUCAUUCGAAUGUCUAGUCGAUAUUGUUAACAAUUAGACCAAAAAUGUUUUACUAAAACAUACUCUGUCUAUAUAAUAUUGACUUUGGUAAUAUACAAAGAAACAAAGCGUUAGAUUGAUAUUCGAAUCGGUGUACGUGUUUGUUUAUUUGUAGUAACGUAAAACUCACUCUAAUCAAUGCAAUGUAAUCGCCAUAUAAUCUAAUUGAUUUAGUACAACUGUAUAAUGUUUGAGAUAUAACUGCGGACUAUUAAAAAUAACAGCGAUCACACCAUAAUUGAAACAUACGCAUGUAUUUUUUUUUUUACAAAUGUGAAAAAAUAUACAGCCAUCACGCUUAUUUGUCAACCUUGUGAAAAAAAAA
rnacentral:lncRNA from 1 species